rnacentral:rRNA from 1 species
UACGGAGGGAGCUAGCGUUGUUCGGAAUUACUGGGCGUAAAGCGCGCGUAGGCGGUUUUUUAAGUCAGAGGUGAAAGCCCGGGGCUCAACUCCGGAAUAGCCUUUGAAACUGGAAAACUUGAAUCUUGGAGAGGUCAGUGGAAUUCCGAGUGUAGAGGUGAAAUUCGUAGAUAUUCGGAAGAACACCAGUGGCGAAGGCGACUGACUGGACAGGUAUUGACGCUGAGGUGCGAAAGCGUGGGGAGCAAACAGG